CCUACGGGGGGCAGCAGUGAGGAAUAUUGGUCAAUGGACGGAAGUCUGAACCAGCCAUGCCGCGUGCAGGAAGACGGCACUAUGAGUUGUAAACUGCUUUUGUACAAGGGUAAACCUGAAUACGUGUAUUCAGCUGAAAGUACUGUACGAAUAAGGAUCGGCUAACUCCGUGCCAGCAGCCGCGGUAAUACGGAGGAUCCAAGCGUUAUCCGGAUUUAUUGGGUUUAAAGGGUGCGUAGGCGGAUUGUUAAGUUAGAGGUGAAAUGUCCGAGCUUAACUCGGGAACUGCCUCUAAUACUGUUGGUCUAGAGAGUAGAUGCGGUAGGCGGAAUGUAUGGUGUAGCGGUGAAAUGCUUAGAGAUCAUACAGAACACCGAUUGCGAAGGCAGCUUACCAAUCUAUAUCUGACGUUGAGGCACGAAAGCGUGGGGAGCAAACAGGAUUAGAUACCCGGGUAGUC
rnacentral:rRNA from 1 species